rnacentral:rRNA from 1 species
GCUAGGAUGAACGCUAGCGGCAGGCUUAACACAUGCAAGUCGCGGGGCAGCGCGGGUAGCAAUACCUGGCGGCGACCGGCGGAAGGGUGCGUAACGCGUGAGCAACAUGCCCGUCUCAGGGGGAUAACCGAUGGAAGCGUCGCCUAAUACCCCGUAACAACAGAUCCCGCAUGAGAUUUGUUUGAAAGCUCCGGCGGAGACGGAUUGGCUCGCGUGACAUUAGCUUGUUGGCGGGGUAACGGCCCACCAAGGCUACGAUGUCUAGGGGUUCUGAGAGGAAGGUCCCCCGCACUGGAACUGAGACACGGUCCAGACUCCUACGGGAGGCAGCAGUGAGGAAUAUUGGUCAAUGGGCGGAAGCCUGAACCAGCCAUGCCGCGUGCAGGAAUGAGGCCCCCUACGGGUCGUAAACUGCUUUUGCUGCGGAGCAAUAAGUGUUACGUGUAACACGAUGAGAGUACGCAGCGAAUAAGCAUCGGCUAACUCCGUGCCAGCAGCCGC